CACGUAGGGGGCAAGCGUUGUCCGGAUUCAUUGGGCGUAAAGAGCUCGUAGGCGGUUCGAUAAGUCGGGUGUGAAACCUCCAGGCUCAACCUGGAGACGCCACCCGAUACUGUCGUGACUAGAGUCCAGUAGGGGAGCGUGGAAUUCCUGGUGUAGCGGUGAAAUGCGCAGAUAUCAGGAGGAACACCAGCGGCGAAGGCGGCGCUCUGGGCUGGAACUGACGCUGAGGAGCGAAAGCGUGGGGAGCGAUCCGG
rnacentral:rRNA from 1 species